GCAUUAUUUUGCCAACAGUAUAUCCUCCUGCAAGACAUCAAGUCAAAAAAGUAGGACUACUUGUAACUUACUUUUACUAGUGACAUUGUAGCAUAGAGUGUCACGUGUCAAAGAUUGUUAUUCCAAUUCCAGUUAAAAUAAUUAACGUAUCAGCAGGGCAAAAAAAAUACGUUUGAAAGAAGAACAAUAUGAAAAAGUAGGCUACAUAGACGACAGAAGACAAUAAUGACGUGGGAAUUAUACAGCAGAGAAACUUUACGGAUCCAUUUGCUGCUGAGGUUUCUGCUCUAUUUUCACCUGGCAACCGUGGUUGGAGCCAAUGGAGACGUGGCCCGUCCUCACACCCGCCUGACUGUCACCGCCCCCCACCUUUCCUACAUGUGCGAGGAGGGUGCCAACGUCACCCUGCUCUGUGCCCAGAGAGGUGCCAAACUGCACCCCUUGGACCACCUGCAUCAAAGCUGGCUCUUCACCCCUCACUCAGCUGAGCAUUGCCAUGACAAGGUGCACCCCCGCGACCACAAUCACCAGGGCAACCAUUCCCGUGCGGCGCUUCCUUGGGGGGUACAGUACGGGGCAAGCGAAGAUUCUUUCUGGGUGCAACUGCAGUUUGUCAACAAAUCUGACCAAGGGCGUUACUGCUGCCUCUCCCUGGAUAUAAACAAUGGCAAGGUGGUGCAGAGGACGCAUAGCCACGUCUUUCUCACUAUCACACCUGGGAAAGGAGACGAGGCGAAAUGCACUCUAUUGGACAUCAAGCCACCAGAAGGGUCAGUGACUGCAGGCCUGGCCACAGCUGCAUGCAUCAUGGCUAUUCUCUCUUUGCCCCUCAUCCUGGUGUUAGUGUACAAGCAACGGCAAUCUGCCCAGUCCAGCCGACGUGCACACGAGCUGGUGAGAAUGGACAGUGAGGCUGCGGGACAUGAGAACCCAGUGUUUCUGGGGGGGUCACCCCCGAGCCAGGCUAAGACCAGGACUGUGUCUCAAAUCAUGACCAGGCAGUCCUCAGAGACAGGCCGACACCUGCUUCUGUCCGACCCUGGUACCCCCCUAUCUCCUCCCGCACACGGAGUCGUCUUCUUCCCAGAACAGGUUUCCUGUGUGUAUCAACAAUGGUCCACCACCCAAAGGACAUCCAGCCAACAUGACACAACUGUGUGAAGCAUUGGCGUCAACAUCAACCAGCAUCCCUGUGGAUGAUAUCUAAAGUAAUAGCCCAUCCCAGAGUCUCCUGAUUUCCUGCAAGUGUAGAGAGAAGCAGUCAAUGGCUCCCUAACCCAGAAACUCCAUGUGGUUAGUUAUUCGUCUUCACUCGGCCAUGUUACCCUGAAACCUGUCUCACAACCUUCUGUGCUGGGAGAGCUCUGUGUACCACAUCAUGGAUGGAUGGGGGAGGGAAGGAGGGGACAGUUUCUGCUAAAAUAAAUGUUCCACCUACAACAACAACUGGAGGAGGCCAAAGGGGUCUGACCACUGACGACAGCUCAAGGACCAGCAGGUGCUCCUGAUCUGAUGUCCCAGGACUGUACUGAGGAGGGUGGGGGGAGCGUGGGUGCAGGGUGGGCUGUAGAGGAUACAAAGCAGCUCCCGUGGACUCUUGAUGACAUGCUCCUCACCAUUUCCCUCACAAUUUUCCACAAAGAGAUUUCCCCCAUAUAGGGCCCGUUCCCCGGACACAGAUUAAGCAUCAAUCUAGACAGAAAACAGUUUAAACUUUGUUCAGACAUUUGUUUUCCCCUAAUAUUCGUCAAACCUAUUUUUCAGUGGCAAUUGACGAGACUGACUAAACUAGAAAAAACGAACUGAACAAAAGUUAUUUUUCAUUUCAGUUUACUAAAAUGAGACACGACAACAUUAUCUCUGUGAUUCAAAUCUGAGUCUUUAGUGGACAGGACAAUAGUUUUUGAACAAAUCUAGCACUUUUCAGUGAUAAGCACAAUUAAUAUUAGCAGGACAGAUGCAGUUAUUUUCAGCAGUGGGAAGGAUGCACCACACCCUGCACACACAGCCUACAUCAGCUGGUGAGCUGGGGGGGAGCAAGCAAUGAGUGUGGACAGGCUUCACUCCAGCUCCGUCUCAUACACAUUGCGCAGGCAACUCUUCUUUAUUUCCCGUAGCUAACCAGUCACCACCAGCCUUCUAGUCAGCUACCCUUUGCCUGGUUAAGAAACACAAGCUGCUUUACAAAAUGUAAAACAAUAACAGCAUUGAGUUUAAUAGUAAAACUACAGUCUAGCUAUGUUCUUCUCUUCCUUGAGUAGAGAAAAGUAGGCUGUUUUUUGAAUUUGUAGUCUCGCGCAACCCUCCCACCUUCCCCACUGCCUUUCAUAGGCAGGUUAUGUAGCCAAGUCUCCCUCUUUUCCUCAGAGAAAAUGCUUGAUGCUAGCCCUUACUGUUCAAAAGAUAUGACCCGGCUCUAUGUUGUUUCUUUUUAUUGUGCAUCGGCGGGCUGCAUUUUAUAUUCAUAAAGCAUAUUGUGGGCCUUCCUAAAAGUAGGCUACUUGUGGACCAGACCGUUAACCAUUUGUUUAGACUACACCUUGAUCAGUCAUGUUACCUCAAACUGGGGCGUGUUCAGCAGGAUGCAACUUUUUGGAAUGUUCAGAUAGAAAUAUGCUAUGUAGAACAAACAUGCCUCUGACGUUUUGCUAUUGACUAAAAUGCCCCAUUGUUUUCUUCAUUUUGACAAUAACUAGACUAAAUCAUUAUUCAAAUGAUUUUUUUUACUAAGAUGUAAUAUUUUUGUCAAAAUUACUAAGACUAAAUCUUAAAAAGAGGGACAAAAUUAAAUGGAGAUUCUCCAUUAAAAGUGCUUCUUAGUCCAAUACCAUUACCUUUAUCUGUGUCCUGGAAACUAGCCCAUAGUGUUCUAUUUAUUUCUAUGAUGUUUCCCUCUUCCUAUGGCUCUGAUAUGCAUAUUCAGCACAUUUGCUUGUGCCAAAGUGAUCAGGGUAGUAAGAGGUACCCAUGGGCUGACAUUAGUUUUUUAAGGCCGUUCCCAACCAGCCUUAAACAAUUGUUUCUAAAAAUGUGUUUCUCUGAGCUGUUCUAACGAGACCAAAGCCCCAACUUUUAUUUAUCUAAACUUCCCAUUUUCGUGUUGUUCCUCUUUCCCCUUUUAUAUAUUUCACUACCUAAAUUACUGUGUUUCUGUAACCCCCCCUCUAUCCCUUCCCUUUCCUCACUCUCAUUCCUUCCCAUACUCUUCCCUGCACUUAACAAUGUCCAAAUAUUCAAGCAGUACUAGAAACUGUCAACAAAAUAUUAGAGAUAUAUUGCUAUGCUGGAUGGUCUGUUUUUGAAGAGAAGUGUCAAUUUUGGCUCUACUGUAGUGGAUGGAUCUAGUAACCCAAACUCAACCAGCCCAAUGCCUUCACUGCCAAGAUGAUCAACAUGUCUUAUUACAUUGUGUUGUUGUGUUUACUGUUUUGUGAUAUCCUUUGGCAUAUUUUGUGCUUAUACUUGAUUUUUUUGUUAUCUUUCUGUUUAUCUAUCUGUAUGUAUACAUAAGUGAAUUGAAAACUUGUUGACCAAAGCACAAUCAGACAGAGAAGGACAGUGAAAGCAUGUGUGAAGUCGACUAAACUGGCAUUUCAGACAUGAUGUUUAGAUUGUGUCUACGGUAGUGAUAGCCACUGGUGGCUAUCGAAUACUACUGUAGAUAUUAGAUAAGAGGUGUUCUGUGUGUUUUGUGUGUGUUUUGUGUGUGUUUUGUGUGUGUGUGUGUGUGUGUGUGUGUGUGUGUGUGUGUGUGUGUGUGUGUGUGUGUGUAAUAGCCAAACAGCUGCAGCUUUGGCAACACCAUGUGAAAUAAAGCCUUUCCCAAAAAGUUUAUGAAAUAAAACGCUGAUGUAAUUUUUUUCUAUAAUAAAUCGGCGCUCUUAAACCUUU